AUUGAACGCUGGCGGCAGGCCUAACACAUGCAAGUCGAGUGGAUGAAGGGAGCUUGCUCCUGGAUUCAGCGGCGGACGGGUGAGUAAUGCCUAUGAAUCUGCCUGGUAUUGGGGGAUAACGUCCGGAAACGGGCGCUAAUACCGCAUACGACCUGAUGGAGAAAGUGGGGGAGCUUCGGACCUCACGCUAUCAGAUGAGCUUAGGUCGGAUUAGCUAGUUGGUGGGGUAAAGGCCUACCAAGGCGACGAUCCGUAACUGGUCUGAGAGGAUGAUCAGUCACACUGGAACUGAGACACGGUCCAGACUCCUACGGGAGGCAGCAGUGGGGAAUAUUGGACAAUGGGCGAAAGCAUGAUCCAGCCAUGCCGAGUGUGUGAAGAAGGUCUUGGGAUUGUAAAGCACUUUAAGUUGGGAGGAAGGGCAGUAAGUUAAUACCUUGCUGUUUUGACGUUACCAACAGAAUAAGCACCGGCUAACUUCGUG
rnacentral:rRNA from 1 species